AACGAACGCUGGCGGCAGGCCUAACACAUGCAAGUCGAACGUGAAGCCACCUUCGGGUGGUGGAAAGUGGCAGACGGGUGAGUAACGCGUGGGAACGUGCCUUUCGGUUCGGGAUAACCCAGGGAAACUUGGGCUAAUACCGGAUACGCCCUCCGGGGGAAAGAUUCAUUGCCGAAAGAUCGGCCCGCGUCGGAUUAGCUAGUUGGUGGGGUAAAAGCCUACCAAGGCGACGAUCCGUAGCUGGUCUGAGAGGAUGACCAGCCACACUGGGACUGAGACGCGGCCCAGACUCCUACGGGAGGCAGCAGUGGGGAAUAUUGGACAAUGGGCGCAAGCCUGAUCCAGCCAUGCCGCGUGGGUGAAGAAGGCCCUAGGGUUGUAAACCCCUUUCAGCGGGGAAGAUAAUGACGGUACCCGCAGAAGAAGCCCCGGCUAACUCCGUGCCAGCCGCCGCAGUAAGAC
rnacentral:rRNA from 1 species